AUAGCUGCAGGGUGAUCUGAGUGUGACGUCUGUCACUUCGUUGACCACUGGCUUGAUUUGGCUGACCUGAUUGGCUAGGUGGGUGUCCCUUUCAUCCCUCAGCACUCCAUGUGUAUCCCUCCUGAUGCUCAGUUGACAACUUUCUUCUAUAGAGAGGCACCAUUUUUUUUUUGGUCAAAGAUAUAUGAGUAGUUGUGCUGUCCUGCUAGAACUUCCAAACAAGGUUCUCAAAAUAGAAAUUUAUGUCCACUUCAACCUUCCAGCUUGACAGUCCUG
ensembl:misc_RNA 7SK 7SK RNA